rnacentral:siRNA from 1 species
AACCCGCGGUACACCGUAGAGACA